GCCUGGGUGGCUCAGUCAGUUGAGCGUCUGACUUCAGCUCAGGUCAUGAUCUCAUGGUUUGUGAGUUCGAGCCCCACCACAGGCU
rnacentral:tRNA from 1 species